rnacentral:lncRNA from 1 species
GCAGGAUUCAGUUCGGUACAACACCGUCGCCAUCAUUGUUGUGAUGAGCGCCUUGGCGCUGCUGCUUCUGUGUGGUGGCGCUGUUCGACACCCGCUACAAAACCAACGAGGGUGAGCUCCUCUCCUUGCCUCCGGUGGGUGCUCUGAGCUCGUCGUGUCCGUCAAUGUUCAUUAUUGUGACACGGUUAUACAGCGUUGUGAAUGGACAAAUUCAGUUUCGUCCGAUUUUCUUCUUCUUCAAUUCUCUUGUUUGCCUUAGGAUGAACUGAAAUUUAAAUGUAUCCUUCCUGUCUAACAGUGAAGAUCGAUUUGGAGUGGUGGGUUUGGGGGAGCUUAGUCAACUUAAUGCAGUGUGUGCUUUGCGCGUUGUUUCUGGUGAAGCAGCAUACUAAUCAUACUGAUUCAAUGUUCUAAUCCAAACAUGUGUAGUGCAUAGUGCAGUUGCCAAUAUUCUAUCUUUUAUGGAGUUUCUUGAGAUUUAUUGUGACUGCUAUGAUGGAGUUUUUUUUACAAUAUUCUGUGUCCUAUGGAGUUUCCUGGUCGAUGGCAGGCUGUCAUGAUUUUGGUUGUGACAGUCUUUUAGCUAUGACUUUCCCUACUAAAUAUUGCUUGUGCAUUAAACAUGAUUUAUUUACACAGCUUUCUGCUAUACAGAGUACAAUAGCAACCACUAGAAAGAAUAUAUUUAACCUCACUGCAAGUUAAGGGGACUUGCUGUGUAUUUGCUGAUUAGUGGUUCCCUAUCUUGGAUAUGUCAUAUUUUUAGUUAGUUAGUGGCCUAUAUGACUUUGAUUUGGCCCACGAUACUUCUUUUGUACGGUUCUUGAUUUGCUAGCAUAUAUAUCCUGAACUUAAUUUUGUUUGCUCUUAUUUGGUGUUCUUUCUUAUAAUAUUUUUUUAUAUGACGUAAGCUUGCUCUAUUCACAAGAGUUUCUCCAUGUUUACGAAAGAAAGAUUGGGUUCAGAGCACCUUCCAUGUUAUAUUUGAUUUGUGAUUUCUGAUGUUCAGGUCAAGGUGGACUUGAAAGAAUACAUGCAGCCACCUUUGUAACGCCAUUGGCUUUGUAGACUUCUUGUACCUUCAGUGUCCAUCUUCCACCUCCCGGUUCGCUCGGCCUCAGCCAGGAUCUUCUCCACCCUGCUCUUA